rnacentral:misc_RNA from 1 species
GGAAAUAAAAGUCGUAACAAGGUUUCCGUAGGUGAACCUGCGGAAGGAUCAUUAGUGAAAUAUCGUCGGCUGUGCGCCCUCGGGCCGCACGCCGUCGCUCCACACAUUCGUGCACCUUCGACGGGAGGGGGAGACCUCUCUCGUCGCUUCAUUAACUUAGUCAGUCUUGAAUGUAAACAUAUCAUAAAAAUACAACUUUCAGCAACGGAUCUCUUGGCUCUC